rnacentral:rRNA from 1 species
AAUCAACGCUGGCGGCGUGCCUAGCACAUGCAAGUCGAACGCGAAAAUCCCGCAAGGGAUUAGUAGAGUGGCGAACGGGUGAGUAACACGUGGGUAACCUGCCCUCGACAUCGGGAUAGCCCGGGGAAACCCGGAUUAAUACCGAAUGGCCCAUCCGCUUUUCGGAGCGGCUGGAAAAGGUAGCUUCGGCCUCCGGUCGAGGAGGAGCCCGCGGCGGAUUAGCUUGUUGGUGAGGUAAUGGCNCACCAAGGCGACGAUCCGUAGCUGGUCUGAGAGGACGAUCAGCCACACUGGGACUGAGACACGGCCCAGACUCCUACGGGAGGCAGCAGUGGGGAAUCUUGCGCAAUGGGCGAAAGCCUGACGCAGCGGCGCCGCGUGCGGGAAGAAGGCCU